rnacentral:rRNA from 1 species
ACUCAAAUGAAUAGACGGGGGCCCGCACAAGCAGUGGAGCAUGUGGUUUAAUUCGAUGCUACGCGAAAAACCUUACCAGGGCUUGACAUCCCGAUGUAAUCCCUUAGAAAUAGGGGACCCCUUCGGGCAUCGGUGACAGGUGGUGCAUGGCUGUCGUCAGCUCGUGUCGUGAGAUGUUGGAUUAAGUUCCGCAACGAGCGCAACCCUCGUUUCCAGUUGCCAUCAUUAAGUUGGGCACUCUGGAGAGACCGCCGGCGUCAAGCCGGAGGAAGGUGGGGAUGACGUCAAGUCAUCAUGCCCCUUACGCCCUGGGCUACACACGUGCUACAAUGGGCGGCACAACGGGCUGCCACACCGCGAGGUGGAGCGAAUCCCUUAAAGCCGCUCUCAGUUCGGAUUGCAGGCUGCAACUCGCCUGCAUGAAGCUGGAAUUGCUAGUAACCGUGGAUCAGCAUGCCGCGGUGAAUACGUACUCGGGCCUUGUACACACCGCCCGU